UUAAAUUGAAGAGUUUGAUCAUGGCUCAGAUUGAAUGCUGGCGGCAGGCCUAACACAUGCAAGUCGAACGGUAACAGGAAACAGCUUGCUGUUU
rnacentral:rRNA from 4 species